rnacentral:misc_RNA from 2 species
AACGCACAUGGCGCCUUCCAGUAUCCUGGGAGGCAUGCCUGUCCGAGCGUCGUUUCAACCCUCGAGCCCCCGUGGCCCGGCGUUGGGGAUCUGCCACGGCAGGCCCCUAAAACCAGUGGCGGACCCGAAGGGCCCUCUCCUUUGCGCAGUAGCAUCAGCCUCGCAUCGGGAGCCCUCGGCGUCCUGCCUCUAAACCCCCCACAAGCCCGCCUAGCGGCACCAAGGUUGACCUCGGAUCAGGUAGGAAUACCCGCUGAACUUAA